AAUCAUGUCUUGCCAUGUGCUAUCUUAGUUUGGUUCUGAAUCUUUUUUUUGCUCGGCGAAAGUCAGCAUUCUUAGUUGUAGUUAGUGAGGUUUGAACUCCUGUCAAAUACAUUGGAGUACAUGGUUACUACCACUUGGCUACCACUUCUGAAUCGAACUGAUCCAAUUCAAACUAUGACAUUUGGGUUCUUCAACUUUGCCGGUAUUUGUUAAUUUCUAUCUUUACCCAAGUCUUGACUAUCAAUAAGGGAUUUUGGAUGUACUCACAUGUACUUCAAUUUAUUUUGGGGUUACUUUUUUUUUUAUUAUCAGCCUAGGGUUUAAAAUUGAAAUCCUCAUGAAUAUAGUUUUCAGAAUGUUUUGGACAUAUUAAUGGUAGUUUUCUUCUACUAAUGUCUUAUAGUAGUCUGACCAGUUUCUGAAAGAAUUACAUGGUUCACAGAGUUCGAACUUCAUCAUUUAGCCAAAAAAAAAGAAAGAAAAGUUUUGACCGGCUAUAACAUUUAGCCAGUUAAAGACCUAAGGUCUGUUGCUGUAAUUGGGUCCCAACUUUUGUACCAUGGGGGACCCCUCCUGUUAUUGGCUUUCCACCUUUGUACAAAAUCCACUAUAAGAAAUUUGGGUGCUUUUGAUGCCCUUGGAGGCUGGAGCACUUAUAUUGAUGGUAUUUUCCUUUGUAGCUGCACUUGAAUCGAGUAGGUAAAUAAGAAGUUGAUAACCAAUCCAGACUAGUAAACUGAUAAAAAAUUUAAUAGGGGGACACUAGUUUUCAUGGUUAAAACUUGGCCUACUUUGUGAGUACUACGUGAAAGGUUAGCUUUGUACCAAAUCCACCGCUCCCAGGGAACCAGCAUUGGAUAAUAAACUGGACGUGCCUUUAUUCUAUACAAGUUUUAUCCCCGUUUCAUUCAUUCCUAUAUGGUAGCAUAUUAAAGAGAUUGUGCUUUUACACUGUAUUUGGUUUAUUGGAAUGAAGCUGGAAUGAAUUGUUUUCACUGAAAAAUCACAGUAUAUACGUUACCAAGGGAAUCAUCAUUUAGAAUCUAGGUGAAUGUCCAUUACAUUGGAAGGUCAAACAAUAACCUACUCAUUCCUUGCUUAAAUCAUUCCUCUGAACCAAACACUACCUUAAUUGUUUCAGCGUUCGGCCUUCAAUAUUUUUAUAAAAUGUUAUCAGUGACCGUGAUUGUAUUGUGUCAAGGGUACACUUGUUUCCACCCGUUUACUUUUAGCUCAAAAAAAACCCACAUUGA